GAUGAACGCUGGCGGCGUGCUUAACACAUGCAAGUCGAACGGAAAGGCCCUGCGUUUGUGGUGUUCUCGAUUGCCGAAGGGGGGAGUGACACGUGUGUAACCUGCCCUUGUCUUUCGGAUAACAUCAGGGAACUGGGGCUAAUAUCGGAGAGGAUCUCCUGCUCCGUGGUGGGCGUUGGAAAGUUUCGGCGGUGGGGGAUGGACUCGCGGCUUAUGAGCUUGUUGGUGGGGUAGUGGCUUACCAAGGCUUUGACGGGUAGGCCGCCUGAGAGAGUGACCGGCCACAUUGGGACUGCGAGACGGAGCAGACGGGAACGGGAGGCAACAGUCGGGAGUAUGGCACAAUGGGCCCAAGUGUGAUGCGGAGACGUCGGGUGCGUGAUGCCGGCUUUCUGGGUAUGAACAGCUGUCGACUGAGACGAAGCGUGAGUGACGGUAAUGAAUAAAGAAGCACCGGCUAACUACGUG
rnacentral:rRNA from 1 species